rnacentral:rRNA from 1 species
AUGACCAGAGUUCCGCAAGGAUAUAUAGCCCGGAGACGACGAAGAAAAAUGCGUUCAUUUGCCUCAAACUUUAGAGGGGCUCAUUUAAGACUUAACCGAAUGAUUACCCAACAGGUAAAAAGAGCUUUUGUUUCCUCUCAUCGAGAUAGAGGCAGGAAAAAGCUCGUGUUGGUCGGUUCCAACACUGUGCUUCGCUUUUUCUUUAGUUUGUUUUUAAAAGCUUUGCUUUGUUCAUCAUUUUAUCCGUGUAUUUUGCAAGUUAUCUUUCAAAAUCUAAAAAUAUAUAAAAAAUCAUUCACUCUUUAUAGUUGUAUUUGUCCUUUGAAUAUUUCGCUAAUUCUUUGUACAACGAAAUUGAUCUACACCGAGUGA